GGGAUGUCAAAACAGUCAAAACCACAAAAAGUUGUCCUCGCUAAUACAUACAUCGUUUCUGCAUGGAAACUGAAAAAUCAUCAAUUUGUAACGUGGACUUAAGAGCCUAGAGCUAAAGGUGAGGAUGAAAUCAAAACCCUCCCAGGAACCAAGCAAAAUGGAUGAAACAAAUUAAAUAGAGUUUAUAGUUUGAAAGAACUGGCCGCUAGAAACUGAUGCUGUUACGGGAGCUAGGCAUCAGCUAAUUAACUAUUAUUUACCCAUCAAGAAGGCAUGCUCACAAGUUCCUUCGCAAGGUCAUCUUGGCCCACCGGCUCUAGGUUCAAGCCUUAGCAGCAGCAGGUGGAGGAGAAACGCCACCAGUAGUUGGCAGCCCAACAAACACUUUGAAAGCAUCAUAGAUGCCCCAUUGGGCUCCGGUAAGGGUUCCAAUCAUGACAAUACGUAGA
rnacentral:misc_RNA from 1 species